AAAGUCGACCACAACUGGAACCAGUGGAGCUUCAGCAGAUCCACAAGGUCUGAGCAGAAAUCUGGCCGUCUCUCUGGGAUUAGCAGCACUUGUCAUUUGUGUUGUGACGGUUAACAUGUGGGCCAGAAUUAAAGAACAACAGAUUCAACGAGAUGGAACCACAACUCGGCGUGAAGAAGACGAGGCUGCAGUGACGUACGAGAACCUGGGAGAGCCGUCUGUUUCUGUCCGACUCCACUGAGCGACAUCGCCAGUCCACUGCUGCUGAGUCAGCACUUUCACUGUUUUCUCUAAAUUCAGGAUGUUGUUUUAAAUGAAGCUGUUCUCAUUUAGUUAUCUACAGUUUUUCUUCUGUUUCUACUUGUAUCA